rnacentral:rRNA from 1 species
CAGCCGCCACGGGAAUACGGAGGGUGCAAGCGUUAAUCGGAAUUACUGGGCGUAAAGCGCACGCAGGCGGUCUGACAAGUCAGAUGUGAAAUCCCCGGGCUUAACCUGGGAACUGCAUUUGAAACUGUCAGGCUGGAGUCUUGUAGAGGGGGGUAGAAUUCCAGGUGUAGCGGUGAAAUGCGUAGAGAUCUGGAGGAAUACCGGUGGCGAAGGCGGCCCCCUGGACAAAGACUGACGCUCAGGUGCGAAAGCGUGGGGAGCAAACAGGAUUAGAUACCCCUGUAGUCCCUGUCUCUUAUAC